rnacentral:lncRNA from 1 species
GUUGGAAUUCGUCAGCUAAGCCAAAGAGACGGAAAAUGCCACAAAAGCGCAGCGGUCGAUUCAGCCGUUGACAGAGGGGAUUCAAAAGCAGUCGACGAAGCACUUGAAUGCUCUGUCAGAAGUCCAUGGUCCUGCGAAGAACACAACACGCUUCGACGGUCGACGUACGUAGUCCUCUCUGAACAACCGCCUGCUCUGUGGCCAACGCUCCCCCCGCCUUCUUCUGCUGCCGUGCGAUCUGAUUGGCUGAGAGUGGCUCAGGGUGGUGCGCACAGCAUCAGCAACAUCACUCAGUGAGAAGUCACAAUGGUGGGUUUAUGACUGCGUGUGCGCUCUUGACCUGAAGUAAUUGCAGUUAGAUGAGAUGUCUGGUGACGGCUGAUGGUUGCUUUGUUUAUCUGUCCAGGCGCCAAAGAAGUUUGUGGGGACGUCGGUGAAAGAAGCACUCUGAUUCUUAAUCGAGGACAAAUGCGACAAAUGUGGGAAUGCAAAGCUCACUGAUAGCUAGAUGUCUUUUUUGGCGAUGAUAUUGGUUCAAAUUGUUAUUUUUUGGUGGAAAAUUAAGAUCAAAAUUAUCACAGUAUAUUUACUCCACGCUCCACUCCAUUCUGAUGCAUCCACUUGUAGACAAAUCAUCUGGCUCAUUGCACCACUAAUGCUAGGUUGGGUUGUGAAGGACUGUAAGCUAGCGGGAAAAUGUGUAAACAAAGAAAUGAUGGGAAAUGAGGGAAAGCUUCCUCUGUGCCAACGGUCCCGCCCACAACUCAGGAAAGUUUCUUAUGAACUCCUGCUGCUCUGCAGAAACUAUGUCCUAGUAAACAACACUGUUUUUUUUUUUUUGCUUAAAAAUUGCAUAAUCAUAAUUAAAAAAACACUUGGAACACUUUGA